UGUCUCAAAAUCUUGUGAAUUCAAUGCCAAAUUGUGAAAAACAAGUGAUUUUUUAAAGCAAAUGGAGGUCAUACUGACAUUCAACAUAUUUUUUCAAGGUCCAAAAAAGUUGUAAGGCAUUUUUUUUUAAAUGACAUUAAAUUUAACACAUUUUUCUUCUCCCAAGUAAUUCAAGCAGCACUGUAACUUCACCCAGGUAUUGCAUCCUUGAACAAUCUGAACAAAAGAAAACACAGGGAAAUCCAUAUAUAAAGUCAGGUAACUUUAAUGGGUUUAUUUUCACUGGAGUCAAAUCUCAGUAGUCCAUUGUUUUGGAUACAAUAAUACAGAAUCUGAAAUUGCACAAACACAGGGGUUAGGUGGGACACCUCUACAGCUAACUGGAAUACACACAGGAGAGGAAGGGCCAGAGUUACCUACAAUGGUGGGACCAAGCACUGCCAUCCACUUAAUGAUGGGCUAACAGCAAACAUGAUGGCGGACUGACAUGUUGGUUUUGCUUUUUCAAAUUGUCUCUUAGAGACAAAUUUAGAAUAAUCCUUAUAAAACCCUCUGAUGAGUAACAAGAAUAAUGAAGUUGCCCCAAGGUUUUGUUGUUGUUCUCCUGGUCAACUUGUCAGAGAACCUUCGUGGGAAAGACUCAGGCACAGAGCUAUGGGACUUCCUACCAUGAACACAGGCUGAAGGCCCUGAAAAGGCUUAACUACAAUAAACUAUUGAUUCAAGUAUUUAAAUUUUAGAGAUAAAAAAAAUCAAUUCUCAUUCUUAUAAAUAGAAAAAAGUUGCAGAUCUUUCCUAAUUUUGAAAUCUGAACUACUGAACAUUAGAAAAUUGGCCCUGUGAAAAUAUGAGAAUUUUUUUGUGAAUGUUUCCACUGCCUAAAAACGUCUGAUUUGUUUUAAUUUCCAUCUACCCUUAGAUAUGAUCAAACUAGAGAUUUUGAUUUCCUUUGAAUUUACUCUGAUUGGUUACAAUGAUGAAGAAUUCCUGUCUGAUGAAAACAUUCUGCAAUUCCAGAUACUGGCACCAUGAAUAGAUUUGUGAAAGGGACUGGGUAAUAUAUGUUUGAUAAUUCAUUUAAUGUAAGUAUUUAAGUGCUGGCUCCAUGCCAGGCAUUGGCAUCAAGUGACAUGUAAAUAGCAUGCGGAUACAGAGAUAAAAAAAAAACAAACCAAACCAAAUACCUGCAACAAUCCAUGCCCUCAAGGACCUCAUCAUCUACUGAAAUCUCCUAGGAACUCACAAAUCUAGAACUGGAAGAAACCUAGAGGCCAUCUCCUCCAACCCCCUCACUUCAUAGAUGAGGAUAAGAGUUUAAAGGACUGAUGGGAUUCGAACCCAAUACUCCAAAGGCAGCAGCCUUUUUUAUUACUUUCAUGAAAAUGCUUGAGAUACCCUGGUGGUGAGCUGGUUAGGAGAAUGUGUGUGUCUACUGCACAGUUGAUAAGCAAAGUCAAUGAUUGUGGAUCUGAUACAAGAGGCCUGGGAGGAAGAGUAGAAUGGCGUCCAAAUGAAAGACAGACAUUGUUGAAUUAUAUUCCUAGGAUGCAAAAUUGGAAGAAGAUCAGAUUGCAGAGGAAGAAUAAGUGUAAACGAUUACCCUGGACUUGAAUAGUCACUGCCAACCAUUUGUAAAAGGGCAGAGGUGGAGCAGGUAUCGGAGCGGACAGCUCUACGACCCUGGCUUUUCUUUAUUCCAUGACUCUAAUGGAAGUGAGAUUGCUCAGGUGGCUUGUGUUCUUCCAGAUGAUCCCCUUGCUUGACCAAUGAUAAGCCAUAUGCGAUAUGCAUAAAGGUGAGAAAAUUCAGUUCAGUUUCAUGAGCAUUUAUUAAGAGCCUACUGUGUACUGGGGUCUAUGUGAAAACAUACUUCUCAGAAGUUCGUACAAUGAGGCUAAAAUAUCCAUGUCAAAAGCGCUGGUCUUCUUGGUUUCCAUAUCCAUUUGCUCACUUUGGCAUCUUUCAAAUAGAAUAGUCCCACUCUCCAUUCAUUUCCACCUCCAUUUUAUAUCACUCUUUUGGCCCAGUCUGGAAUUUCAAUGGCAUAGGGAACCCCAGCGAUGAGGAAAUCUCUCCCACCAACCCAGAGUCAUAAGAGAAAUGCUUUGCCACCUCUAGUCUCAGGGGGCUGUUUGAGAUCGAGUGAUCUGCUCAGGGGUGCUCUGAUAGCAUGUGUCCAAGAGGAGCUUGGCCAGGUCUUUCAGAUUCCACAUUUUACCUCGGAAUCUUACUUUGCUCAGGAGAACUCCAGAAAAGGGCCUAAAACAGACAGUAUCACACCUGGAAAAGAUUUUUAAGAUCACCUCAUUCAACCUUGGCAUUGUGUAGAUAAGGAAACUGAAGUCCAAAAGUGCCUUACCCAAGGCCACUCCACGAAUGGCAACGUCAGAACUCACUCUGAAAUUCAGGCCCAUCGUGCUUCCAGUGGGGGAAAAAAAAAGAAAGUAGACAUCUCAUAAAAAUAGCAACUCAUUUUAAAAUGUGUCUUGGUAAUGAGGCAUGGCAGGGAGCAAGGCAAAGCUUUGGAAAGCAGCAGAAAGAACCUUGGAUUGGAACCAAAGGACACGCGUGUGACUCCUGAUUCCUGGUACUGACAACUUGGGGUCUCAGGGAAGACUCCUUGAAAUCUAUAUUCCUAUGACUCAUCACCGAAAUAAACCAGAGAAGAGAAUUUGGCAAACGUGCCUCCUCACACAUUAAACGUUUUUCUUGAAAGCUACAGGACAGUAUUUGUUUUGACUCCUUUUAUGACCAGCUAAAAACCAAAAAGUUUAAACCUCUCCUAGCUAUCUGAAACAAGGGGAACUAUAGGGCAGCUCCCACAGGCGGAGAAGCUCAUCCAAUUCUCCAAACCUCUUUCAUCUUUUUUUGUUGUAAAGAGGUGGGGAGUCCACCAUUUGCAGAAAUGGGUUGAGGGAGAAAGGGAAGUCUGAAAUGUCUGUUUUAUUUUGCCACAGUAAUCAAGAACACUCAGUGAGUACUGUGUUUGGUCAGGAUGUGAAACUCAAAGCCAGGACUACAGUCUUGGAUGGCAAGGUGCCAAGUUUUCAGCCUAGAUAACCAGGGAAACCCAACAUCGGGGAAGGAGCUGGCCAUUCUUGUUGUCUUGAUAUUGUUGGCCAAUGAGAGACCUAACGAGGGCCAUGUUGGUAAUAAAUACCAUCGCAGUCUCUCAUCUCUCUCACUAUAUUUUGUAGCCACGUGGGAACAAGAGAAAAAUGAGUCAUGGGAACUAUUCCCAUCCUUCAUAGUUUUCCUAGUUCUUCUCUAGAAAACACCGAAUAAGCGGUAGAAGGGCGGGUCUAGGUGAGCGUUCCUUUUCAUAGUAUAAGCUGAUCCAGAGGAGAAAAGGAAGGAAGGAAAAGUCAGAGGUAUAAUGGUUUUAGAGUCCAAGGAUCCAAGUUCAGGACCCUCCUAUGCUGCAGACUGUGUGAUCUUGGACAAGAUACAACCUCUCUGGGCCCAUUUUCCUCAUGUCUAAUGGCCCCUGAGGUCUCUUCCUAUACUAGAUCUAUGAUCCUAUGACGGCUCCCCACUGGGGAUACUUCACUGGGGGGAAGGGAAGCCCUUGGGUAGAGUAGCUGCCCAGGGGAGUGAAUCAGAGCAGGGAGAGAAGUCACAGGACGAGGACCGCUGCUGCCUUGCCCAACUCACUCACCCCGUCACUUUCUGAGGCUGUGCCAUCUGGAAUACCCAGGAUAUAGAUGGGCACAGUCAGGGCAAACAAAACCUCUAAUAUACUCCUUUAUAAGUGAUCUCAUGUGUGUAGGGAGACCAUGUUUAAUUCUGUUCUGAUGCUAACAAUUUGCUGUAUUCAUGUGGACCCUAAAGGGCAUUUCCUUUCUGCCUUUUCCUUAGAUGAUAUCUCCUUUUUGGUCCAACUUUUGCAUUAAAAUCACCAAGAGGCCAAAUCCAUGAGAAAAUUUCCUUGCAAGAAACAGAUCAAUCUGUCUGUCCACUUGUAAUGGCAAGAUCAAAUCCACACUACCUGCAUACAUUUUGUGGAUGAUGGACAUUAGUGAAACUGGAUGCAACACUGCCUCAAGAAUCAUUCAGAAGUAUUAAAAACAUCAUCAUGAUCACGACUGGGGGCCCAGAGUGGGAGAAUACCUCACGCUACAGGAGAGAAGAGUGGAAAGGUUAAUUAUUUGGACCAUGUUCAAAUAAGGCAUUUAAAAUCCAUAUAAAUUCAUUUUUUUUUCUUUUAAAUAAUAUUUCAUUUCAUUUGGGACAUUUUUCUGUUUUCCUAAAUGAAAUCCACUUUCCCAAAUGAUUUCCUUUUUUUCCCUUCUUUUUUUUUAUUUGAAUAAGUUUAUUUAGUCAAUUUAGAACAUAAUUCCUUGGUUACAAUCCAAAUGGUUUCCUUUUGUAACACAUAAAUGAAGAGUUCAUUCAUUCAUUCAUCCAUUUUUCUUUCUGGAUGCUGGCAUGUUGGUACACGGAAAGAUGCCCCGGUGAAUUCCUGGAAAUUCAAUGAAAACUCUCAUCAAAAUUAAAAGUACCUGAAGGCAUGUCUACUUUGUUCUUGAGGUGGUGCCUAGAUUAAUCUACACGUCUCUCAGCUGUGGCCCUUUUUGGUAAGUCCAUUUUAUACUUUUUGAUGACCAGAAUGAGCAGUGACUAUUUGUUCUUGUUCUUAAAUUCAACUCAACAGCCACUGGUUAAUUGUGUGCUAUGUGCAAAGCUCAUUUUAGGACUAAAAAUGGCACCUCCCUCCAAGGGGCUCCCAUCUACUGAAUGAACAAUAAGAACAUCAAACGAGGCAUGUGUGAAGACACAAAGCUGGUUUUCCCUUUCAGCAUCAUUCCUUACCACUAGCUUAUUUUUACAGACUGGACGGGUUUGAAUGUAUUUCCCCUGCAAACUGGAGUGUGGCUUAGAAUGGGGAUUACUUUUUGGUGCACACUGGGGUGUACCAGGGUCUCCAAAGGCAUAUGUAUGUACACACGGACAUUCGUAUUCCCUUUCAAAGACAUUUCAUUUUCGUGGCAUCGUAAGCUGUUUGGGAAACAUCUAUCUUUAGAACCAACUCUGGAUUCUAGAUUAACAACCAGAAAGGACUUCGAGGUCACCUCGAUUUAGAAGUCUUAAGCAAACACGACUGUUAUAAGAAAAUAGCUAGAUCUUUAAAGGGAAAUGCGUCAGUUCUUGUCCCCAACCUUGGGAGGAAAAUUUGGGGACGAGCUCCUAAUGGGAUCCUUCCUGAUCAACUUUGGUGGAACACUGAAAAUGUGGAGGGUGGGACAACAGUCCAUGAUGCCUUUUUUCAAGAUUUAAAGUUUUCCCUUAUAAAGAAGUAAUAUGAAGGGUGGAAGUAUGAAUGGAAAGGAAGCGGGCUGGUCAUGCAGUAAGAGAGAGGGAUGACUGGUGGAAGGCGUCCAUGCUCCCCUGGAGGAUAUAUCUCAUCAGGAGAUAUGGAAGGAAGUCCGAGAUGCCCAUUUGGGAGGCUUAGACAAGAAUCACACAGGGGGACGAGGCAGAGAGGGAUGAGAGCACAGAUGCAUCCAGACGUCCUUUUAGGUCUGGAAUCUGGAAGUGAAUUUUAAUAUUUGCUGGCUAUUUCCACACGACUGGUUUCCUUGGUAAUCCUAUGAAUUUUAUUUCAAUCCUAUAAAAGCGUGAUUCUGAGAAGGGGUCCUUGAGUUUCCCAGAGGGUCCGAGAGGUCCACGACAUCAAACACUCUCAGAGCCUUGGCUUUAUAUCCUAUAAUAUCCUUAGAAGUGCACCGUGGCUAUUUCCUCGGCAUGCUGAUGGGCACAUCACUUCAGUUUGACUGCAGAUGCAUGUUGAAAUAAAGUAAGAGUUGUCGUAUCUCUCCUUCACAGAAUGCUGUUCCAGUAGCCCUAGAAAAAGGCUGUUUCUGAAUCUGGGAGCUAUUCACGUUCAAGAGAAGCGUUAGCACAGGAUCCUAAAAACCCCAAGCCAGAAGGAGUCUGCUUUUGAAGGCGAUGAGUCCCAGGGCUGAGUGAACAGGCACGUGUCCGUGUCACAAAGAGGUGCUGGACAGGAUCUGGCCACAGGAGGCCAAGACUGACCCUGCUCCCACGCCACUGCUCUCCUGAGGAAUUUCCUGACUGUCUUCUGAAUGAGUCCUGCCAGUCCCUUAAGGUCAAUAGGGAAAACCGAUACGUGUUCCAAGUCCUUGAUCUGGAUUUAAAAAGCUGAUUGCACAUCGGAUGCCUUGAUUGAGGAACAUAUGGCUUUCAAGGCUCAAAAACCAGAUUCAAGUCUCACCUCAGACAUGUGUAAUUCUGGGGAAGUCAUUUGACUGCUCAGUGCUCCAAGUGACUCUCAAAAAUGAAAAAUUACAGAGGAAUUGCUGUGGCGCGUUGGUGAAGUGGGGGUUCCUUCAGGCUCCCUACUCCGAACAAACCCAACCCAAGCCCAUGGCCCGGAAACCAUUCAGACCCUUAAAAGGGUAAAGAGUAAUGUUACAUCCUAUGUAGUUAUAAAUGGUAACCACUCAAUAAAGUUAUUACCAUCUUCAUAAAGGACACACUAACGAAACAGGCAAA